rnacentral:rRNA from 1 species
GACGAACGCUGGCGGCGUGCUUAACACAUGCAAGUCGAACGGAAAGGCCCUGCUUUUGUGGGGUGCUCGAGUGGCGAACGGGUGAGUAACACGUGAGUAACCUGCCCUUGACUUUGGGGUAACUUCAGGAAACUGGGGCUAAUACCGGAUAGGAGCUCCUGCUGCAUGGUGGGGGUUGGAAAGUUUCGGCGGUUGGGGAUGGACUCGCGGCUUAUCAGCUUGUUGGUGGGGUAGUGGCUUUCCAAGGCUUUGACGGGUAGGCGGCCUGGGAGGGUGACCGGCCACAUGGGGACUACGGUAGGGCCCAGACGCCUACGGGAGGCAGCAGUGGGGAAUAUUGCACAAUGGGCGGAAGCCUGAGGCAGCAACGCCGCGUGCGGGAUGACGGCCUUCGGGUGGUAAACCGCUUUCGCCUGUGACGAAGCGUGAGUGACGGUAAUGGGUAAAGAAGCACCGGCUAACUACGUG